CCGUCGCCGUCGCGCCCGCCGAAUACGAUGGCCCCGCGUAUGUUCCGUACGCACUCGGAUAUGCGUAUUGUUACCACUGCAACGGCGGUGAAUCGGUCGGGAUAUCGCGUUUCGCGAGCGGCAUAACGGUAAUAAAUACAACGGGUUUGAAAUAUAAAAUCGGAUAAAAACAUCGCGCCGACACACACGGGACGCAUCGGUAUAAUGAUACAACGGCGGCUGCGAUAACCGUUCCGUUUUUCGUUUAUAAUGGCGCGCGGCUACGAAACACUAUUAACAAUAAUAAAUACGCGCGAGUGUACGUUACACGGGUACGCGUGUAUGCGCGCGUGUGUUACGUGCACCGUACCCGAUACGCGGCGGCGGUGUGUCGUUCCUGCCGCCAAUAAUACGACGGCUAUAUUAUUUUUGUUG